UACAGAGACUGCAAGCGUUACUCGAAUUCACUGGGCGUAAAGGGAGCGCAGGCGGACCGGUGUGUCAGAUGUGAAACCCCAGGGCUCAACCCUGGGACUGCGUCUGAAACUGCCGGUCUAGGGACUCGGAGGGGCUAGUGGAAUUCCUGGUGGAGCAGUGAAAUGCGUAGAUAUCAGGAGGAACACCAACGGCGAAGGCAGCUAGCUGGACGAGAUCCGACGCUCAGGCUCGAAAGUAUGGGGAGCAAAAAGG
rnacentral:rRNA from 1 species